GCGCCCUUAGCUCAGCUGGAUAGAGCAACGGUUUUCUAAACCGUGGGUCCCGUGUUCGAGUCGCGGAGGGCGCG
rnacentral:tRNA from 1 species